CCUCGGACAAUCUGUCCGCUGGGGUUGGAGGAGUUCGGCUGCCGGGUUGUUUCUCGGAUCCGGCAGCCUUGAAGAGUGUGUUGUAAAACCCUUCCCCCGUCAAGAGGGGACCCAGCCAGCCUGCGUCCUGCCAGCUCGGGGGACCGGAGGCGGGUGUCAGUGGUUAGAGGAAAACUUUCCAGCAGAGCGCCUUGCCGCCUUGCCGGAGCAAACCUGGCAUCUGUCAAGAACGCUCUCUGUGCGCUCUUCCUGCAAGGAGCUUCUGUUCCAGUGCAGUAGACGCAGAAGGCAAGCGAAGGUUUGUGCAUCUGAACAGCUAACGCUGAGGACCAGUUGGAAAAUCACAGGCUCCUCAGCCCCAGCUAAUUACUACCUCCAGCAGCACCGCUAUAGGCCACGACAUAAAGCAGAAAACUCUUCGUUUUAUGCAAAACCAAGGGUGGCAAAGAAGGCAGCUUCCAACGAGUGGAAAUUGGAUAAUUGAAUCAAUGUGUUCUUUUUUAAAAGCGAGAGGAUGUAGUAAAGUAUCUAAUUUGGACUGAGGGCAAGCAGAAUGGCUUCUCAUGUUUCACACUAAAGAUGGCCCCCCAGAUAAGUGACACGCAGACCCUGGUGAGAACAGUCACCUUUGCUGUAGGAUUACAGCCGGGCACAAAGUCACGAAUGCCACAGGCUGACUGUGGUCAGAUCAAGACGUCAUGUAUGCUGAACUGAUGACUCCAAAAUCUGUAUCCCUGGCCUGAUUUCUCCCAACUUUCUCCUUCAGAUCUCAUCUGGGAUUCAGAUGUCUUACAGUUGACUUGACUUAUCCAGCACUGAGACUGUUAGUCUCUACUCCCUCCAGACUCCUCCUCCAGUCUUCCCAGCUCAGGAAAUAGCACUGCCAUUCACAUAGGUACUUGGGUGGAGACCCAAGGGCUUUCCCUGAGUUUGCCCCUUUCCACCCCUCCCCAGAUGCAGUCCAUCAGCAAGUGCUGUGGGUUCUGUGUUUGCAACACGUUCACCUUUUCCCUGCUGCUACUUUGGUCCAAGCCACCAUUGGUCUCCCACUAGGCCCCCCGCAACAGACGCCGGCAACUUCCACUCCUGGCCCUAGAGUUUAUUCUCUGCUCUGUAGCCAAGAGUGGCUUUUAAAAAGAUAUAUAUGAUCUUAAAAUAAUAAUUAGAAAAAAAGAUCACUUAGCUUUUCCUGCUUCAACACCCCCAGUGGUUUCACAUCGCAAUUAGAACUAAACCCAAACUUGCUUCUGUGGUCGCAGGCGUGUGGUAAUCUGUUGGCUGCCUCCCCUUUCCUUCUAUCUCCCUGGCUCUCUGUGCUUUACCACACUGGCCCCUUUGUCCCUUGAGCUGGUGCCUGCCACAGGGACCCUGAACUUGCUGUCCCUCUGUCAGAAAUUCCACGGCGGUUCUUUCUCACUCCUGAAACUUCCAUUCAAGUGUUACCUCCUUAGGGGGUCCUUGUCUGACCACCCCGUUCCCCAAACUCAGCCAGUCUUGGUCUUAUCAUACCAAUCUCUUUUUUUUUUUCAUUAAUAUAUCACUGACAUUCCACAUCCUUGUAUGGAAUUACCUUAUUUAUAUCUAUGUGUUUCUUUUCACUUUUUGGUGUUUGUGCCCCGCCUUCCUCCCCCUUUCCCCAAAUAUAAGCCCCACGGGGACAGGAAUUUUGUUGGUAUUCGUGGCUGUCUCUCCAGACCUUGGAUAACGCCUGGCAUCUGCGAGGCACAGAGAAAGCAUUCGUUGGACGCUGUUGAAGGAGAAGAGUUCGACUCCCACCUGGUCCUGAAUAAACCCUCUUGACCCACUACCGUGGCUCAUUUUUCUUCUCCUCCUCACCGACAUACUUCUAGAAGGAGCAGAUCAUACCCAAUGUAUUUAUCUAGUCAUGUUUCUUCCCCUCUGUAACCCUAAACAACCCAGCUUUUCCCCCCACUACCAUUCAGAAGUGCUUCCUCAAAGAUUUCCGGAAGAGUCAAAACCAGUUGCCUUGUGCACUAUGCCCUUUCUGUAGCAUCUGACAUUGUUAACCCCUGUUCACAUUCAUGAAUCUCCCUUUGAAAUGUUGCCCUGUCUUGGCAUGACUUCUGGAUCUACCAGGGGCAUGGUAAAGCUGGGAAUGCAUCCCGGAGUGUCUCGGGAAUGUAUUGGGGGCUCCAGCCAUCAUACCUGGUGAGCAGGCUGUCUCUUAACCAGAUAGAUAGUCCAGAACGAUUGCUGUGGGUCAGUGGCAUGAACUCCCCAUGAAAAGCGCCAAAGGGAAGCCGCUCAAAGCUCCAAAGCCCCUGACUUCUUUCAGGUGGUAACUUGGCAGUGGUAUAUCAUUCUGGGUACCCGACCGUCAGGGAAGGUGCCCUCCACCCAAGGGUACCUGCUCUGCGUAGAUGUCUCUGGGCUGUCAGCUGGUCUUUUAUCUACAAAGUAAGUAAGAUCCUUUUUCUGUGCCUACGGAAUCUUUUGAUACAUUCCCCUGGGUCAAAGGUGUAUCUGCCCCAGCUAGACACAUGAUGCUUUAAAUCACAGCACUUGUCUUGUUGCACUCAAUUCCUACUUUGUGUGAGGGACAUGGGGUUUGGGACUGCCCAUCCUCCCAUCUACUGGCUACAUGACCUUGGACAGGUUAAUGCAUACCUUAUAUCCUCUGGCUCCACAUGUGACAAUUGAGCAGAACCACUAGGACCUCACGGGCACCUUGACUCUGUCACGAGGAUGCCCAGAACAUACAACCAUCAGUGGCUCCCUAUUGUCUUCUUAAUUAGGUCUGGCAUUCAGGCCCCCACCCCAUGAUCCUGGGUGGCUCCUUAGGAUCCCACACAGGUUUUGCUGUCCCCAGCAUGCUGGGUCUUAAUGCCUUUGCUAUGACCUUCCACUGCUUAUGGGAGACCAUCUUCCCCUUGAACUUUUCUUUGUUUUCUGGAUUUUAUUUUAAAAACAGCAACAUGUAUUAAUUUUGUAAUCAGGAAAAAAAAACCCUCUCACCAUUAAUAUUGUUUUGAAUACCCACCCUUAUGUCAAAAGCCAUGUGUCCAUAAACUCCUUCUGGAUGACCCAUCAUCUAUGGGCACUCAGACGUUUGAAUCCGCUGGAUCGGCCCUUAAAGUAUACAAUGCCAAGUAUGUAUGGGAAUAUAAUAAAAAUAUACAGCCAAUUGUUAGAGAAACAGAAUGUAAACUCAGAGGGCAGACCUUCAUUUCCACUGUAGUAACUGGUGGCUAUCAAACUGCUUUGCCCAUGAUUUCCAUAAAUAUUUGUUUACUUGAAUUAUUAACCAAUGCAUGUAAGAACAGGGGGGACCUACAUGCCUUGUCUCUUGUGAAUAGAAUAAAAAUAACCCCAUGUCAUCCAUCAGAUUAACUGAUAAAAGGUUUUGUUCUUUUGCCCCGAGAGAGGGCUAGAAAGAGACCGUUUAGAAACUUGUCUUUUUCCAAACCCGGCAGUUUAAUGCCACUUGAAUGGAUGAAAAACACAGCAGUUAUAAUGACAUAUGAGUUCAUAUCUAUCUUUUGCUUUCCAGCCACGAAAGAUACUGGAUGUAGUUUAUGAGGGCCAGCUCUCACGAGGGGAUGGGGUGCCGCCCUCAGUCCCUGCCUCGCAGAACAGUAAUUGCAAAGGAAUGUUUAUCCAGGCGCAGACUCAUUUUUCUGAGGCUUGCCAUUCGCUCACUCACACUGCUGUGCGUGGUUUCACUCUACCUGCCUCCUACCUUGUUUUGUGGGAGCAGUUUAAUUACGAGGAGAUGAGUUCUUUCUUAAAGAUUUUUAAUUCCUCCUGGUGGUUCAUAAAAAGAGAGCUAAGUGUUGCCAUUUUAAUCCUAUUGAUUAGAACAGAAGGCUGAAUAAGACAAAUUAUCUACUGUUUACUUGAUCAUCUGUUGAAAUUGUCAGUCCUCUUUAAACGGGAGCCAAAAAUCCUCGAUACAUUUUUGGUGACUGUGAUCAUCAUUCAACAGCUUUCUCUCCACACCUUCCUGUUGUGAAGUCUGUACAAAUUCGGUGAGUUCCGGUCCAAAAGGAACUUGUAAUUGAAACCAACAGAAAGGCCAGUGUUUCUCAACCAAUUUUGCUUCCCUGGAGGACACUUGGCAAUGUCUGGAGAUAUUUUCGGUGGUUGUGACUUUGGAGAGGGUGCCGCCAGCAUCUGGCAGGUAGAGGGAGCCCAGGGAUGCUAAGAGUCCUAUCAUGUGCAUAAGCAGCUCCACAACAAAGAAUGACCUGACCCCACAUUUCAACAGUCCUGAGGUUGAGAAACCCUGAUAUAAACAUACGGCGUUGAAUGCACAAACAGUUUAAAAAUAGUGAUCGAUUGAGAAAUGUCUACCUUCUAUCUAGAAGGUCUAGACAAGAGAUUGGAGGGACGGCGGACAACUUGAUGCCUAUCAGAAUAGCCCCAGGUGGCAGAGUUAACCACCUUUCUUUCAAAUUGGAGCAGGCUUUGUGAAAGGGACCAGGAGGGCGCGUGUGUAUGCUGGCCUAAAAGCACUCUGAGUUUUGGGAGCCUGGGUGGCUCAGUUGGUUAAGCAUCUAACUCUUGAUUUCGGCUCAGGUCAUGAUCUCACGGUUCGUGGGUUCAAGCCCCUCAUGGGGCUCUGUGCUGAUGGCACGGAACCUGCUUGGGAUCCUGUCUCCCUCCCUCUCUCUCUCUCUCUCUGCCUCUCCCCUGCUCGCUCUCUACCUAUCUCUCAUAAAUAAAUAAAUAAACAUUAAAAAAAAUUAAAAAAAAAA